rnacentral:rRNA from 1 species
AUUGAACGCUGGCGGCAGGCCUAACACAUGCAAGUCGAGCGAGAGGCGGACGGGUGAGUAAUGUCUGGCAAACUGCCUGUUGGAGGGGGCUAACUACUGGAAACGGUAGCUAAUACCGCAUCCCAUCAGAUGUGCCCAGAUGGGCGUGGCUAGUAGGUGGGGUAAUGGCUCACCUAGGCGCCGAUCCCUAGCUGGUCUGAGAGGAUGACCAGCCACACGGGAACUGAGAGACGGUCCAGACUCCUACGGGAGGCAGCAGUGGGGAAUAUUGCACAAUGGGCGCAAGCCUGAUGCAGCCAUGCCGCGUGUAUGAAUAAGGCCUUCGGGUUGUAAAGUACUUUCAGCGAGGAGGCGUUACUCGCAGAAGAAGCACCGGCUAACUCCGUGCCAGCAGCCGCGGUAAUUC